CAGGAACUUCAGUAGUAUUAUGAGAAAUUCAGUUUUUGAGAGAACUUUUUUGGAGGCUGCCCAAGUUUAGUGCAUCUUCAGGAGUUUUUAAUGUCUCAUUGGUAAAGUACUUCAUAUUUUUAAUGACAGAGUUACUUUUCCAUAACUGCAGUGUAGGAGAAGAUGGCGUGAACUGCCUACUGUGAGCCUGAGUUCUGACUGAUGUUCUUUAUUUCACUCUUUCUUCUGCAGCAAGUUGGCAAAUUGGAGCUGGAACUGGAACCUACGUCUCUAAAAUGGCAGAACUAAAUAUCAACAGCUUUGUGAUACUACCUUAUUUAAAAAAAAAAAAAAAAAGGCCAAAUCUUACAUUUGCUUAAUGCAUGCUCAUGCAGUUUGUCCCUCCCUUCCUUACUGCUAGCUAGAUGGGAGCUAGAAUCCCGGGAAUGUGCUGUUUUCCCUGCGGGAAGGCACACUGCCCUUCACCUCAAGUGGUUGCACUGUGGCCUUGGUGAUACCUGGUGAUGACCGGGACAGGCUUGUUGCUGUUGAAGUUUCUUGCUAUGGGACAGCACUCUCAUGCUAGUAAUCCCCACACUCAGCUCUUGCCUCUUUACAGGUCUGCAAAGACAAGUAGACUAAGCCUCAAGCUGAAAGAACUCCAAACAGGAAUCCCUCAAUAAAUUUUCCCAUCAAAUGGAACUGUACAGUUCACUGUCCCAGAGCUGCAGACCCUUGAAACAGUGAAGUCCUCAACCACCUUUCAAGCUGGCUUCUGUGAAGCUGAAUCCGUGGAAGACUCCAUCGAUUUGGGGAGAAUUAUGCUGAUAUCAACUUGUCUCUGUGGAACAUUGUGAUUUUGACAAAUCAGCAGAUUCCUGUUGAAGUGUUUGUAAUUUUUUAUUGGUUGUAAUUAUAGUGCUGUAGUUAUUGAUUACUUUCACCCAGAGAGAGAAGCAUAUCUAAUUACAAAGUGAUUAAGUUAGCCUAGUAACUGUCUCAGUAGUGGUCUGCUCAGAAUGAUUUCUUAUGGGAGCGCUUUAUGGUGACAGCUGGCAGUGGCUGCAGUGAGACAGCUGACUGCAAAGUUUGUUCAGGUUAGCUUUAGUUCAUUAAAAUAGUAUGGUUGGUUGCUUGCAAGCCGUAUUUAAGUUCUUUGUGCAGGUCCAGUUUGUCAGGUCAAAGCUAAUUAAAAUAAAACCACAGACUAUUGGAAAUGGAGAACA
rnacentral:lncRNA from 1 species